GUCAUUCAUUGUGCCCUAGUUUCCAUUAUCGAGAGAGAGAGAGAGAGAGAGGGUAAAAAUGGCGGGAGAAGAUUCAGACAACCAGCCGUCGUCGCCAGCUUCACCUUCCUCGGCUGGGUUCAACACCGACCAGUUACCUUUCAGUACGAGCCAGAACUCCGAGAAUAUUUCCGAUGAAGAAGCAGAGGUAGAUCCGCAAAUCAUAAGAGAUGAGCCGGAGGAGGAAGAAGAAGAAGAUGGAGAAGAUCUCUUCAACGAUAACUUCCUCCAAGACUAUGGAAGAAGAGAUGAGCAAGAUCAGUAUGAGUCUGUUGGAUUGGACGAUUCGGUAGACGAUGAUAGGGAUUUAGGUCAGAUUGCGCUUGACCGUCGCGCCGCCGAUGCUGUCCUCGAUGCUCGUGAAAGUCGCUUCGCUAACCGCAAGCUUCCUCAUCUUCUUCACGACAAUAAUGAUUCAGAUGAUUGGAACUAUAGACCUUCCAAGAGGGCUCGAGCUGCGGUUCCGCCAAGAGAUCCUGAUGGAGACCCAAGUUCCCAGCCUGAUGUUUCUAUGACUGAUCAAACAGAUGACUAUCAAGAUGAGGAUGACAACGACGAUGAAGCAGAGUUUGAGAUGUAUCGGAUCCAAGGAAGUCUGAGGGAAUGGGUUAUGAGAGACGAAGUGCGUCGUUUCAUUGCCAAGAAGUUCAGAGACUUCUUGCUCACUUUUGUCAAACCAAACAAUGAGAAUGGAGAAUAUGUUCGUCUGAUUAAUGAAAUGGUCUCAGCUAAUAAGUGCAGUCUAGAAAUUGACUACAAAGAGUUCAUACAUGUCCACCCGAAUAUUGCCAUCUGGCUAGCCGAUGCUCCACAACCUGUUCUUGAAGUCAUGGAGGAAGUUUCAGAAAAGGUCAUCUUUGAUCUGCACCCAAACUACAAGAAUAUUCACCAGAAGAUUUAUGUUCGUGUUACCAAUCUACCAGUAAAUGACCAGAUUCGGAACAUAAGGCAGAUUCAUCUUAACACUAUGAUCCGCAUUGGUGGAGUUGUCACGAGGCGCUCUGGGGUCUUUCCUCAGCUGCAGCAGGUGAAAUAUGACUGCAACAAGUGUGGAGCGGUUUUGGGACCUUUCUUCCAAAACUCUUAUUCAGAAGUCAAGGUCGGUUCUUGCUCUGAAUGCCAAUCAAAAGGACCGUUUACUGUUAAUGUCGAACAGACAAUAUACAGGAACUAUCAGAAGCUUACCAUUCAAGAGAGUCCAGGAACAGUGCCUGCUGGACGACUUCCAAGACACAAGGAAGUUAUCUUGCUGAAUGACCUUAUUGAUUGCGCUCGUCCUGGAGAAGAAAUUGAGGUUACUGGGAUAUAUACCAACAAUUUUGACCUCUCUUUGAACACAAAGAAUGGUUUUCCUGUCUUCGCCACUGUGGUGGAAGCAAAUUAUGUUACAAAGAAGCAAGACCUCUUCUCUGCAUACAAGCUAACCCAGGAAGACAAGACGCAAAUUGAAGAGUUAUCCAAGGAUCCACGUAUAGUUGAACGUAUCAUUAAGUCAAUUGCUCCGUCAAUAUAUGGACACGAAGAUAUCAAAACAGCUAUUGCUCUUGCUAUGUUUGGAGGCCAGGAGAAAAACAUUAAAGGGAAACACAGAUUGCGUGGAGACAUUAAUGUACUUCUACUAGGAGAUCCAGGAACAGCAAAAUCACAAUUUCUGAAAUACGUCGAGAAAACUGGUCAGAGAGCCGUCUACACGACUGGAAAGGGAGCUUCUGCUGUUGGUCUGACUGCAGCAGUACACAAGGAUCCAGUGACAAGGGAGUGGACGCUUGAAGGAGGGGCACUUGUACUUGCGGACCGAGGAAUCUGUCUUAUCGAUGAGUUUGACAAGAUGAAUGACCAGGACAGGGUGAGUAUCCAUGAAGCCAUGGAACAGCAGAGUAUUAGUAUAUCAAAGGCAGGAAUUGUUACUUCUCUUCAAGCUCGUUGCUCUGUUAUUGCCGCAGCUAAUCCAGUUGGUGGAAGGUACGAUUCAUCCAAAUCAUUUGCACAAAAUGUCGAGUUGACAGAUCCGAUCCUUUCUCGUUUUGAUAUCCUUUGUGUUGUCAAGGAUGUGGUUGACCCAGUGACAGAUGAAAUGCUUGCUGAAUUUGUUGUCAAUAGUCACUUCAAAUCACAACCUAAAGGUGGUAAAAUGGAUGAUAGUGAGCCCCAGGAUGUCGUUCAGGGAUCUAGCGGUUCUUCUGAUCCCGAGGUUCUUCCCCAGGACUUGCUGAGGAAAUACUUAACAUACUCGAAGUUGUAUGUAUUUCCAAAACUGAGUGAAAUAGAUGCAAAGAAGUUAGAAACGGUUUAUGCUAAUCUAAGAAGAGAGUCAAUGAACGGACAAGGAGUCUCUAUUGCGACAAGGCACCUGGAGUCCAUGAUCCGAAUGUCUGAAGCACAUGCAAGGAUGCACCUUAGACAGUAUGUGACAGAGGAAGAUGUUAACAUGGCCAUUAGAGUCCUGCUCGACUCUUUCAUAUCAACCCAGAAAUUUGGAGUCCAGAGAACUCUAAGAGAGAGUUUCAAAAGAUACAUAACAUACAAAAAGGACUACAACUCAUUGCUGCUGGUUCUUCUGAAAGAGCUAGUGAAGAAUGCUAUGAAGUUUGAAGAAAUUAUUACGGGAUCAAACUCGGGACUACCUUCUAUCGAGGUUAAGAUAGAGGAGCUGCAGACGAAGGCCAACGAAUACGACAUUGCAGAUCUAAGGCCGUUCUUUUCAAGCACAGAUUUUGCGAAAGCACAUUUCGAAUUGGAUCAGGUUCUAGGAGUGAUCAAAUGUCCUAGAAGGCUAGUCACUUGAGAUAUGGAGGCAGAUCAGAUCGUGAUGUUUGGUUCCCGAAACGCUGAGUUCUUCUACGCUUGCAGCAAUCCUUACUACAACCGCCUCCGCCUCCUCCUCCCCCUCGUGUUCGCCGUGUCUUUAUCUCUCCUCAUCCUCUUCACCUUCCUCUCCUUCCUGGCUCCGCAUCCGGGAGAUUCCGAUCGCCUCCCACCAAGCGUUCGCCACACAUCCUGAUUCCAUUUUUCUCUCUCGCAGAUCAACAUUGGAGGAGGAGGAGGCAGUGAUACGAUCAGAUCAACAUUGGAAUUGGCACAAAGCAUAAAGAUUACAGUUAGAAUUGGCACAAAUCAGCAGCUUUCCGAGAAGAGACUGUAUCAGCAGCUUUCUCUGUAUCAUCAUGGCUCCUGUAUUUUCAAGAGACGCCUGGCGAUGCGUGUGGCACAUGAUCCAGUACUUGAGAACAAGCGUGACAGAGACGGUGAUGCCUCGCAACAACCUUUGCAAGGACAAAGGAAAUGGCUAGCUUCUAGUCGUUGGGCUGCAGCUGCUCAGUUUGCACUAGGUGUGAGUCUUACAUCAUCGCACAACGAUCUUCAGAUCCUUGAGAUUGAAAAUGAUGGGAGUAUUCUGAAGAGAACGAAAGAUGCGGUUGUGACUUUGCGGAAUGUUCUGGAGGGGAAACAUGACAAGGAGAUUGCAGAGUCGCUUGAGGAACAUAAUAUAUCUAGAGACGGUUGGUUGUCAUCACUGUAUAGAAUGGGCUUGCGGUGAUGAGCAGAUUGGCGAGGAACAGAAUGCAACAACCAGGUUACAAUUUGGAAGGAAACUCGUUUGACUGGGACAAUAUCGAGAUGUAGAUUAAGUUUCAGGUCAAGCUAUAGUCAUCAUCAUCAGUUGUGAAGAAGAUAAACAUUUCAUAAAUAAAAUCUAUUUAAAAAAAAAA